rnacentral:rRNA from 1 species
CGUGAGGCGGAGCUAAUCCCUUAAACGCCAUUCUCAGUUCGGAUUGUAGGCUGAAACUCGCCUACAUGAAGCUGGAGUUACUAGUAAUCGCAGAUCAGAAUGCUGCGGUGAAUGCGUUCCCGGGUCUUGUACACACCGCCCGUCACACCACGGAAGUUGGGGGCGCCCGAAGCCACUUAGCUAACCCUUUUGGGAAGCGAGUGUCGAAGGUGAAAUCAAUAACUGGGGUGAAGUCGUAACAAGGUAUC